UGGGGGUUGGGGGGUCCAUCCUGCCACGGUGUCUGCUGCUGAUGUAAACUGAUGCAACCUUCAUUCAAGACAAAGCAAGAGAAAAAAGAAAAAAGAAAAAAAAGAAAAAGAAACAGUGUGUGGGAUCAGUGUCCACUAUGAAAAGCAACACACACACAGACACACAUACAGUGUUUGGUGGCGAGUUGCACUGGGGUUUCAUAAAGCAAACCUAAUAAUUGAUGACACUGUUGGAUAACGAUCAAGUGUGCGUGUUUGUGAGUGCGUCUGAAAGCAAAGAGAAACGCAGUGACAGUGAGGGGGAGAGAGGAGUGUUUUUAUGUGUGUGAAAGAUAAACACAGCAGAAGUGGAAAAGACAGAGUGAGAGUAAGAGGAGUGCGUCUGGGAGAAGUUUGAGAGGCAGAGACUGAAAAAAGUCGAGAAGUAAAAAGCAGAGACAGUCUGAGUAACAGAUGAAUGUCAACAGAUACCUUUGUUCCCACACUUGUGAGUGUAAACCCUGUCAAAAUAAAAAUGAUGUAUGUAUAUAAGUUCUACAUUUGCAGGUAUACAUAUUGUCAGAAAGAAAUGCUGGCCCCAUACAGAUUUCAUUUUGUAUAAACAUUUGUAUAGACUUUUGCCAACAGCCGUCCCCUAAACUUGAAACACAACCAUUACCUACAGCCGUCAUUUUGCAUUUAUACCUAGAACAAGUACUUUGCUUUAAUAAGUUUAUCAUGAGCAAAUUUGGAGGUCUGGUGUAAAGCAUAAAAAAGCUGACUUGAAAAGAUAGAGGUUAAUUUAACUCCCUGUUCCCGUCUCCUGACUAAAGUCAGCGAAAGCCAGAUUAUCAGAUGGGUCUUAAGAUCACCUUCCCAGAUUUUCCUGUUGUGUGAGGUUUGUUAAGAGUGAAGAGUAAAUUUUCAGGAACUCUGCCCCUGAAAUUUCCACAGUUACCUGCUCACACCUCACUCAAAGCAUAAAGUCCUCUCUGUUCGAUGGUGGUGGUAAACAUGGGAGAGAGUAAGACAGGACAUGACAUCAAAAGCACACCAGCAAGGCCUCAGUACAAUGCAGUUCUUAGCUCUCUGUCCAGGAAGCUCCACAAACAUUCACACCUGGGACCAUGUGACCACAAUACCUCACAUGGAAGGGGUAGUUAACGACCAACUCAGGUUAACGACUCUCAAGGUAAUCACCUAGUCAUUGUUUUCCUCUCCUCUGGUAAGAUAAAAUACCAGCUCCCCCCACUAGCUCUUUUAGAACUGAAGAAGCUUCUUGUAUAAGUGGCGAAACAUCUUCCCAACUCUACAUAGUCGAGUUGCCGGAUUUUGGAGAUUUCAGGAAAGCCAAAAUGUCAUGUUCAUUGCAUGAUGGCGAAUGAAGCAGUGUGAAUGGAUGGAUGAGGAGACAGUGCAGCUUAUACUACAACUUCUGUACAUGAGGGGUGUGAAUACAGUUUUAGAGUACUGACAAAUCAUAGGUGUGUAGUAGAGCUGUAACUUUGCAAAAUUUGAACCUUGAUUCAAAGUCUAGGGGAGAAGUUCAUAUUCAAACUGUAAUGAGCUGUUCGAACUCAUGAUAAUGCUAUCUACCCAACCGCGUUAAGUAGCAUGAUGUAUGAUCCAGCAAAGGGUGCUCUCAUGGUUAUCAGGCCAAUCUAUGCACUCUUGACCUCAGUAAACAAGGUCAAACAAAGCAGCUCUGAACAACAGUCACAAUAUGGAAACAUCUAAGAACCUUAGAGUGGAAGUAUUUUGGGAUCUACACCAAAGAUCGGAAAAAUAAAACCAAAAGCUGGGGCUGUAUAUCCACUUUGUAUAAAGCUGCUGUCUUGCUUGUCAACAUCGACAAAUUCACGGGCUCACCUAAUGUCUUGCCCCCUUGUGAAGCAGCAGGAGAGGCACCACUGUUCACCACCCUAUUUGACUGCCUUUCCUAAAACAGACCCCUACCAGAGACGUAAAAAAGCCCUCCUUUGUAGUCAUGUAAUUACAACAUUGAACUAACUCGCAAAAAUAUUCCCCUCAAUAUUUAUCCAAAUGUGUGGAAGGCAGAAGCAGAAACAUACACAGACACCAAACCUGGCAUCUGACUCUGGAGGCAUAAUUUCUCACCAUUAUUCUCAAUGCAGAGAAGCAAUACGACUGUAUUUUAAGGGAAAAUAUAUUUGUGUUUUUGACACAUUCACACAUGAUUGUGCCUUUUAUCAUUGUCACCAUCACGACCUCCUCCUAUUCUGAUUAAUUUACUUGUGUGUCUCUGAGUGUGUCUGAGACGUGCCAUAGUUUUCUGCUCACUGAAGCAGAGCUGGAUUGAUGUGUUUCCGAUGAAGUGCAAUGACAAUUAAACAGUAACUGACCUGCUAUUUCCCUUCAUUACCUCCCUGCUCUUCAUGCUGUGUGUUUGUGUGUGCGCACAUAUGUGCAUGUGUGUACGUGUCCCUGUGUUUCUGAAUAAUGUGCAUGUUUGUGUUUAUGUCAUGCAAAUGUUGACAGGGUAAGAAAGAAAGGGAAAGAGUCAGCAUUUCCAUACGCACAUACAGAUGACAUGCAUGCGGUAUAUGAUGCAAAAAUAUACAAACACAGUACAAAAGAGAGUCAUUUGCAUGAUGCGGGCACACACAGGCAGUGAGUGAAAAUUCCUCCUUGCUGAUCGCUGAGGUUGCUUUACAUUGUAAACACUUCCAGCAGGUACAGACCGCCUGCCUAUGGAUGGUUUUAUUCCUGUAAACAUACAUUCAAAAGAGCAUCUUAUCAUGCCAUCUUGUCUGCAUUUUCUGCAUCAUUAUGAUGUCCCCCUCAGUCCUCCAUUUUUCUUUCUUCCAUCUCCAGCUUUUUUUUCUUUUCUGCCUCUCUUUUUCUUUCUGUAUCUUCUCUUUUUUUCCUCUCUUUCUCCACACAUAAAGAUACAAACAUCGCCAUUUUUUUUCCCUGCCUGCACAAGGCCCACCACACAGCCAUUUGCAUAACAAUCUCCACUUGUUUUUCUGCUUAGAUGGAAUUCACAGCAUGGUGCCUGCAUGACUGAGACAGGGGUCAUUGCUAUGUAUAUCAGAGAGAGAGAGAGAAAGAGGGAGGGAGAGGUGGAGUAGGGAUGGAAGAGAGCAUUUAUAGUAGUGAGAGGGAGAGGGAGAUACAGGGAGGUGGCAGUUGUGAAAAUCCACAUCUAGGCGCACAAACACUCCACUAAAAACACUCAUUGGAAUAUGUACAGUGACAGGCAGACACCGGGGAAAAUACAGACUGAAAAUACAGACAGGAAGGAGGUAAAAAGGCUCAGACUCCUCUCCAUCUGUCCAGUGUAAAGCUUCUUUAAGACGAAGAAUGCAAGAACUGAUUAAACCGAUGAGUGAUACACUUACAGUGGAACAAUGUCAUGGUUAUCUGUAAUCAAAACAUACGUAUACAUUUAUCUGUGAAAGCAAUGAUUGUAAAUUUCAAGAACCAGGAUUUCAGCAGAAAUGGGAGUUUUAGAGAAUCAGAUGGACCAAAAUGCAACGCAAGAAGUGUCUUUCCAAGCUCAGCAUCACCAUCAACUGACAUUCAAACAUGCACAGAAAACAGACGAGAGGAUUUCUAGCUGACUGACACAAGGCUGAUCCCGGUCUACAAGCCUGCACACUCUGACACCUGAUCCUGAAGAGUCAGAUUUAGUUUAUAUAAAAUUAAUAAUAACAACUAUAGCAAUUGUGUUCAUCUCAGUGACGACAUGUAGAUGGUUACGUUUGGUGCACUUUAUGGCAUUUUGUUGUCUUAUCUAUUGAUUUAUUGAUUAGUUGUUUAGUAAUAUAUUUCCUGAUGUUUGAAAUAUGUAUAAAGCUCUCAUAUAAAACUGUAAUGUCCAUACUGACAUUAAACUGAGUCCCAGUUUUAGUAAGUUUGUACAGUCUAAUGACCCAACUGACUGACUGACUUUUGGAUAGAGGUUUGGCUUGGGGGAGAAGGUUACAGUUUUAUUUUUUAAAUUGGACUUUUAGGGCAAACUUAAAGCUAUAACAAUCAUAGACGGACACACACACACACACACACGCACGCACGCACGCACGCACACACACACACACGUAUAUAGUUUUUUUUUUUUAACAGCAUGUUUCAUAAAUAUUAAGCCCAAACUGAAACAUAGAAUGAAACAAGGUCAGUUAAAAA